rnacentral:rRNA from 1 species
GAUGAACGCUGGCGGCGUGCCUUAUACAUGCAAGUCGAGUGGGUUUAGACCCACGGCAAACGGGUGAGUAACACGUAGGUACUUUCCUUGUCACAGGAAUAACCCUCCGAAAGGAGGGCUAAUACCUGAUGUGAUCGCAAGAUUAAAGGGUAUCCGCAAGGAUUACCGGACAAGAAGAGGCCUGCGGCCUAUCAGCUAGUUGGCGGGGUAAAUGCCCACCAAGGCUAUGACGGGUAGCUGGUCUUAUGAGGAUGAUCAGUCACAUGGGCACUGAGACACGGGCCCAACUCCUACGGGAGGCAGCAGUAGGGAAUUUUGCGCAAGGGGCGAAAGCCGGACGCAGCGACGCCGCGUGCGGGAUGAAGGCCUUCGGGUCGUAAACCGCUUUUAUAAGGGACGAACUUUGACGGUACCUUAUGAAUAAGAGGUUGCUAACUCUGUG